UGUGGAUGAACAGCUACUAAAUGCUUCAGGGAUUGCACCUUGGGGAAUUGAGCCUUGGAGAACUGAGCUCCCA
rfam:Nomascus leucogenys chromosome 17, whole genome shotgun sequence.